GUAACCUGUACAUCUUUAGAAUCCCAGAUUUACACCUCAUUUCUGCAGUCAAUGUACUGCCAUGUGAUAUUGAUGAAAUCUACUGCUCUCCUCAGAAGAAAUGGGUCUUACUGAGUAAGAAACAGUCAUAUAUUUUGCCAAAGGUGUUUUACAUGAGCAGCCUACUGAGGAGAUCAGAAUUCUCUGCCCCUGUGUCUACCCUUCUGGAAUUUUCCUUAUGCCAAGAAGCCUUCUGGACCCCAAGAAGGGAAGACAGGAUAACCCUGAUGUCCAGAAGUGAUAUCUCCAAAAUCACAAAGUUUAAAACAUAUGAUUUGAAGCUGGAAGAGUUUGGGAACAAAAUUAUUGUUAAAGCUUCAUUAACAAAACGCUAUGUGAUGAUGUGAGCAUAAUUCAGUUGAUGAUAGAUGGUCACGGCCCCUGGUUUCUGAUGGCAUAUGCCUUGAAUAUCUGCUCUUGAAAACUUAGCAGGUUGUGUGUCCUCUUCCUCAAUAAUAAUAAAGGCCUAUUUGCAAGCCC
ensembl:lincRNA